rnacentral:piRNA from 1 species
UUACAGCCGUUCCAGCGAAUA